rnacentral:rRNA from 1 species
UACGUAGGGUGCGAGCGUUAAUCGGAAUUACUGGGCGUAAAGCGUGCGCAGGCGGUUUUUUAAGCCAGAUGUGAAAGCCCCGGGCUUAACCUGGGAAUGGCAUUUGGGACUGCAAGGCUUGAGUGCGGCAGAGGAGACUGGAAUUCCUGGUGUAGCAGUGAAAUGCGUAGAUAUCAGGAGGAACACCAAUUGCGAAGGCAGCUCGCUGGGACGUUACUGACGCUGAGACGCGAAAGCGUGGGGAGCAAACAGG